rnacentral:rRNA from 1 species
GAUGAACGCUGGCGGCGUGCCUAAUACAUGCAAGUCGAGCGAACAGAUGAGGAGCUUGCUCCUCUGACGUUAGCGGCGGACGGGUGAGUAACACGUGGAUAACCUACCUAUAAGACUGGGAUAACUUCGGGAAACCGGAGCUAAUACCGGAUAAUAUAUUGAACCGCAUGGUUCAAUAGUGAAAGACGGUUUUGCUGUCACUUAUAGAUGGAUCCGCGCCGCAUUAGCUAGUUGGUAAGGUAACGGCUUACCAAGGCAACGAUGCGUAGCCGACCUGAGAGGGUGGUCGGCCACGCUGGAACUGAGACACGGUCCAGACUCCUACGGGAGGCAGCAGUAGGGAAUCUUCCGCAAUGGGCGAAAGCCUGACGGAGCAACGCCGCGUGAGUGAUGAAGGUCUUCGGAUCGUAAAACUCUGUUAUUAGGGAAGAACAAAUGUGUAAGUAACUAUGCACGUCUUGACGGUACCUAAUCAGAAAGCCACGGCUAACUACGUG